rnacentral:rRNA from 1 species
GACGAACGCUGGCGGCGUGCUUAACACAUGCAAGUCGUACGGUAAGGCCCUUUCGGGGGUACACGAGUGGCGAACGGGUGAGUAACACGUGAGUAACCUGCCCACAACUUUGGGAUAACGCUAGGAAACUGGUGCUAAUACUGGAUAUGUGCUCCUGCUGCAUGGUGGGGGUUGGAAAGCUCCGGCGGUUGUGGAUGGACUCGCGGCCUAUCAGCUUGUUGGUGGGGUAGUGGCCUACCAAGGCGGCGACGGGUAGCCGGCCUGAGAGGGUGACCGGCCACAGUGGGACUGAGAUACGGCCCAGACUCCGACGGGGGGCAGCAGUGGGGAAGAUUGCACAAUGGGCGCAAGCCUGAUGCAGCAACGCCGCGUGCGGGAUGACGGCCUUCGGGUUGUAAACCGCUUUCAGCAGGGACGAAGCUUUUUGUGACGGUACCUGCAGAAGAAGCACCGGCUAACUACGUG